rnacentral:rRNA from 1 species
CAGUAGCCGCGGUAAUACGAAGGGGGCUAGCGUUGCUCGGAAUUACUGGGCGUAAAGGGCGCGUAGGCGGACAGUUCAGUCGGGGGUGAAAGCCCGGGGCUCAACCUCGGAAUUGCCUUCGAUACUGGCUGUCUUGAGUAUGAGAGAGGUGUGUGGAACUCCGAGUGUAGAGGUGAAAUUCGUAGAUAUUCGGAAGAACACCAGUGGCGAAGGCGACACACUGGCUCAUUACUGACGCUGAGGCGCGAAAGCGUGGGGAGCAAACAGAAUUAGAUACCCGAGUAGUCCCUGUCUCUUAUAC